UAAUACGUAGGGACCGAGCGUUGUCCGGAUUUAUUGGGCGUAAAGCGCGCGUAGGCGGCUUUCCACGUCGGAUGUGAAAGCUCGGGGCUCAACCCUGAGAUGCCAUUCGAUACGGGAUAGCUAGAGGUAGGUAGGGGAGAUUGGAAUUCCUGGUGUAGCGGUGAAAUGCGCAGAUAUCAGGAGGAACACCGGUGGCGAAGGCGGAUCUCUGGGCCUUACCUGACGCUGAGGCGCGAAAGCUGGGGGAGCGAACAGGAUUAGAUACCCUGGUAGUCCCAGCCGUAAACGUUGAGUGCUAGGUGUGGGGAGGUCUUCAACCCUCUCUGUGCCGCAGCUAACGCAUUAAGCACUCCGCCUGGGGAGUACGGCCGCAAGGCUA
rnacentral:rRNA from 1 species